GGUUUGAUGGUGUAGUGGUUACACAUCCUCUUUAAUUAUUACAAUUAUGAAAUCAAUUGAGGAAGUCCCCAGUUCGAAUCCGGGUUAGGCCA